UACAGCUGCUGCACAGGCUCAGCUCAGCAAGUCAAGUGUGUUAAUGAUAAUGUACAACCUUCAAUUAGACAUACAGCCAAGCAAGACACCCACGUUGACAGGCCAAGUGUCAGUCACUAACACUGAGGACGGAGAGAGAACAGCAGUGAGAGACAGAAGACUCAAAUAAAAGAGCAAAAGAAAGGAGGGAUAAAAACAGGCAUAAAGAUUUUUUAAAUUAUAGACUCUAAUCUGCUCUUUUCAUAAUAUGACGCCUGCAUAUCAUUUACCUCUAAACAAGUGAUAAACAGGAAGUAAAGAUGAGGACAGAAUGAAUAAAACCAGAUGAUGGAGAAAGAUGAGGGGAGAAAAUACGAGGAAAGGAAAACCAGAUAUUUCAGAAGAAAAACUCAGGAAUAGAAAAAAACAAAGGAGAGAGAGGGAACGAGCAAAAACUGACCCAAUCCAGGGAUAAAACACCCGCCCUCCCAUCAUCACACAGUCCCUUGUACUGACACGCAAAAUUAAGGUGCAGUAUUCUCCUGAACAAUAGCUGGCGCCACUCAGACAAUCCUAGCAGAUAAUAAGAGCUGAUACAGAGAAGAAGUCUUUAGUUUUCAAACGACUGCAACAUCUGUAUGUUGUUAUAAACCGACACGAUUGUACGCUCCUGUCUCCAACCCAGGUCUGGUGGCUGCGGUGCAACGCGCUAGGCUUCAAAAAUCAAGCCGACCAAAGAGCCACAAAUACUGGCUAUGCUCUGGAGCACAAAUACACGAUCACAUGAAUGAUGAAGUUCUGCAGUCUGGCUAUGUCAAACAAGUCUUAGCUAACACAAACCAACAAAACUGGAAGGCUAACUCGAGGAGCUAACAGCUGCUCCACUCUGAGGAAACAACAGGAACUGCUGCCCGUCCAUAUGUCCAGCUUUUUUUUCUCUUUUAAUAAGUGGACGAAGCUCUGCGCUGCCCACUUCAACCUCGUCGUUGGUGAGCAAGAAGAUGAGAAAACGAAAAGAAACAAGAAGCAGCACAAGAUGAAAGGAACAUGUAAAAGCUUUCUCAAUCCUCUGGACAGUUCAGAGAACACAGGAGAGCAAACGUUUAUUGUCUCAGGUCAAGGAUUUUUACCUACCGCAGUUCAGAAUGAGCCCACAGGAAAAAAAUGGUCUGAGUGAGAGGACCCAAUCAACUUCUUCCAGUUUAGCGGGCGCUCUGUUUUUGACUUAUCAGAAAAAGUACUUAGUAUCUGUAUAAUCUAACAGUGAAACAAUAUUUAACAGAACUAAGUCUGUGUGUUUAGAAACUAUCAACAGGGAUCAGAUAAAAAGAAACUGACUCAAAUGUUCUGCUGGAGGAGAAAUGAAGCUGCUGGAUGGAACAAAGAAGGACGGACAGCUGUGCAGUCGUGAAUCUUUCUUCUCCACAGUCUCAGCAGCGUUUACUCUGAUCAGCUUAUUGAAGUUCUCUCAGACAUUUAAAACAUGUUCACUCAUGCUGUACCAAACUAACUGAGUAAAUAACAUUCUACUGUGUAUGGUUACAUGCAGUCAUCAAAUCAAACCAGCCCUGUAUGAGAUCAGCGGCUGUGAUUGGUCCUUCACCAGCAAGUGCGGGUGGAAAUUUGUCUAAAUGGAAGAGCUACAGCUCAUAGAUUUUUGUGGUUUUCCUCAUUAGAAAAAAGUGAAAACAUCUUCAGAUCCUCGACAGAGACAAAGAAAACAUUCCUAAAAAUCCUUCAAAUCAGAGUGAAAAAAACCCUUUACAACAGGAAGGACAGGAAAUGUCGGACAGAAGGAGGAAAAGGUGAAAGGAGAUGAGGCGGGCAGGACUCAGAGCAGGAUGAAAUGACGGAGGGCUGAAAACACUUCACUGUAACUACUCUGUUUUCAGCAGCCUCUCACAUCUGGUUGUCAUGGUUGGGGAGGGGUGGAGCUUAUCCCAGCUGGCAUGGAGUGAAAGCAGGGACCCUCCUGUUUGUGCAGACGCUGAGUGGACGUAAAUCAGAGCUGAGCUGGAGGCGCUCGGCCUCAGGAAAGCCCCUCUGCCUCCAACAGACAGCCAGUGUCCUCAGCAGAUGUCGAGGAGCAAUAACAUCAGACAGACUGCACUGCUGAGGCAGACAGCCAUGCACUAUUACACCACAUAGACUUCCAAUAACACUUCCCGGGUAGAUGUAAAAAAGGCAAUAAGAUUAGACAGUCUGCUGCCGACUGCCAAAUGGACUAUAACAGAUCACGGGCCGCGGGGAGACACUCGGCCCGGCUCAGGAGGGAGGGAGGCCGACCGAGCUAACAGCCCUUUUUUGGUCAAUUCUCCAAAGGAUGUUGUUUGCUUAAUUCAAAGAGCUUGAGGUAAAGUUCAGCUCACAAUCCAAAGUUUGUGUCUGCACAAGUGAAUCUUUCAGUAGUCAAAUAAGCACUGAGGCACUGAGUUCAUAUUCAGCAGCCUGAAGUCAGCCACAGAGACGUGUCCUUUUUGUGCAGCUCGUUAUGAUCAGCUGAAGUUGCACACGUGGCAGAUGUUGUUCACUAUUGUCACGUCUACAGUUUCAGAGGAUCUAAAGUUUUGUCCGUAUGAAUACAGAGCCUGAGGACGAGGCUGCAAGCAGCUGCAGUGAUCUCCUAAAACAGCAUGCGGCUGCAGCUGGAAGGCGGAGCGUGAAACUGUGCCACACAUCAGAAGAAGCCAUCGGAGCGACACGCUGAUUUACUGGAAUACACAUCUGUAAUUACAGCCAGAGCGCCGCGUGCCUCGAUGAUAGCGCCGUGAAAGCGAUUAGCCUGUUAGCUUUCAUCGAGCACACCGAGCUCUUUCCUUCCUGACUGUUAAAAAUAAAACACCGUACAACACUUUCCUCAUCACGCACGCUCACACGCUGCUGCUUUCACUGUUGUUUGCUGUUUUACAUAUUUUCCUAAUAUCGCAGUUUGAUCUUUUAUAAAAUCUGCUGCCAGCGUCCGUGUUUGCGAUUGGUCAGAACGACCAGGUCUGCGUUAAUUCAUCGAGUUUACAACCAGCUUCUUCUUUUUUCUCCAGUGUGUGGAUGUGUGUGUGAAUGGGUGGAUGACUGGAUA